ensembl:lncRNA
AUCAGAAUUAGGGAUGCAGAGGGAGGUCCUGUUGUGGUUCAGAGGGUUAAGAACCCAACUAGUAUCCUUGAGGAUGUGAGUUUGAUCUCUGGCUUCACGCUGUGGGUUAAGGAUCCAGGGGUGCCAACAACUGCAGAGUAGGUCGCAGAUGCGACUGGGAUCUGGCAUUGCUGUGGCUGUGGCAUAGGCUGGCAGCUGUAGCUCCAAUUCGACCCUCAGCCUGGGAACUUCCAUUUGCCGCAGGUGCAGGAAAAAGAAAAAUUAGGGAGGCAGAGGCUGGGGACUGGCAUAGGUGGAACAGGCUGCAAGGCCCCCUUAUCUCCCAGAUGCUUCACUGGCCCUGCUGCAGUGUUGGGAAGACCCAUCAUUAGUCUUUCCAUUGAGGCCACUGUAAAAGUGUAGAUGGUUUAUUACACUGAGGAGAGAGAGUAAAUCAUUGUGCUAGAGAGGGGCUGGGCCGGGAGAUGAGGCCAGGCUCACCAGUUCUCCUGUCCAGACCCCCCAGCUUGGAGGAAAGAUGCCCCCCAGCCAUCUCCUCUGUCUGUCCCAGGGACCUGGAGACACAGGGUAGGUUCAGCUGCUAAGCCAAGGUGGGGGGCGGGGGGAGGCGUUAGCCAUCACCUCCCAGCCUCUUCCAUCCUCCCUGUGUUGAGUAUCCCUUCCCGGAAGCCUAGGAGGAGGAGGAAGAGAAGGAGGAUGAAUAUGAGCUGCCCCCCUGUGAGACUCUGCCCUUCCGCCGAGCCCCCGCCCACCUUCCUGGCACUGAGGACUCUUUGUACUUGGAUCACUCUGGCCCCCUGGGUCCUCCCACGUCACCACCACCACCACCACCACAGCCUCAGCCCGGGAUGGUGAACAG